rnacentral:rRNA from 1 species
UACAGAGGUCUCAAGCGUUGUUCGGAUUCAUUGGGCGUAAAGGGUGCGUAGGUGGCGCCGUAAGUCGGGUGUGGAAUUUCGGAGCUUAACUCCGAAACUGCAUUCGAUACUGCGGUGCUUGAGGACUGGAGAGGAGACUGGAAUUCAUGGUGUAGCAGUGAAAUGCGUAGAGAUCAUGAGGAAGACCAGUGGCGAAGGCGGGUCUCUGGACAGUUCCUGACACUGAGGCACGAAGGCCAGGGGAGCAAACGGG